UACGUAGGGGGCAAGCGUUGUCCGGAAUUAUUGGGCGUAAAGAGCGUGUAGGCGGUCCGGUAAGUCGGCUGUGAAAGUCCAGGGCUCAACCCUGGGAUGCCGGUCGAUACUGCCGGACUAGAGUUCGGAAGAGGCGAGUGGAAUUCCCGGUGUAGCGGUGAAAUGCACAGAUAUCGGGAGGAACACCUAUGGCGAAGGCAGCUCGCUGGGACGUUACUGACGCUGAGACGCGAAAGCGUGGGGAGCAAACAGG
rnacentral:rRNA from 1 species